ACGCUCGACACCUACGGGAGGUAGCAGUGGGGAAUAUUGCACAAUGGGGGAAACCCUGAUGCAGCGACGCCGCGUGAAGGAAGAGGUAUUUCGGUAUGUAAACUUCUAUCAGCAGGGAAGAAGAUGACGGUACCUGACUAAGAAGCCCCGGCUAACUACGUGCCAGAGCCGCGGUAAUCUGAGCGGGCUGGCAAGGC
rnacentral:rRNA from 1 species